AUGUCAUAUAUCUAACUCGUCACUGUUCGUUUUCAGAGAUUUGCUUGAUAUUUGUGCAAAAAGAGCAAACUUAACUAUUUCAUAUCAACUUGGCAUACGGUACGACACAAACAUUGACAUAACAAUCUUGACAUAAUUAUUAGAUAUCCAUAGAUUAGAAAUGAUGCAUAGGGUCCGGUCUGCCAGGGCUACGCCUUUGUCGCUCGUAAACAAACUGGGCCGUCUCCCGUCUCGCUGAUUCCGCCUUCUUCCCUGCGUUGGAGCUCCCAACACCAUGAUGGCUCCUUGACUGGUGUCCAUGGAGCAGCAACCAUGACUCGGACGUCCCAAGCGAGGACAACAUCAAUGCCAAACAGAAAAGGAGACCGAGCCUUGUGUUGAAUCUCCUCAUGAAGGCCUCCUUAUCCUGUGAUC
rnacentral:lncRNA from 1 species